UCGAAUCCUUGUCUCUUCUAUUUAAGAAAGUUGGGGUCACGUGGGCAUUCUGGUGACCCCAACUUUCUUGAAUAGAAGAUGCAAGGGUUUGG
rnacentral:pre_miRNA from 1 species